CAGAAAUUAAGAUUAGCUAGCAUAAAUGGUUUCAGACGGAAUAAAAUAAAAUAAAAAAUACGUUUAAAACGAAGUUUAUUAAGAUUUCACAAAAUGUGGUAUUUAAUAACCAAGGCUUUUUGAAGCACGCAGAAGAGGGAACUCUAUUAUCUACAAGCAAUACCAAUGGAGAAAUACUCGAAAUGUCAUUAUCAACCCAUUCAUUCAUCUUAUAAAAGAUUUUUUAGGCUUUUUUAUAAGAGAAAGAUUGGCACACGUUUUUUUUAUAGUAUUCAAUAAAAUCUGACCUGAUUUGAGUUUUUAAUCUGA